rnacentral:lncRNA from 1 species
UUAUCUCUUUUGUGCGAUUUAAGAUAUAAUAAUUGAUUUUUUCAUAGUUCUUAAUCAUUUUAUUUUUUUUAAAAAAAACCCAAAAAAGACACACAUGCAUAAAUAAAACUAAAGAGUCAUCCAACAUAAUUUGGUGAAUGACAUUCGGAUAAUCCAAACCAUAGGCAUCCUGAAAAAUCACAUAAACAAAGUCAUCACAAAGUCUAUGGGCCUCCUCAAUGAUUUGACAGUACAAAGGUAAAACCAAACAUCAACUAUGAAGUUUAUUAAGAACAGAAAAGCAGAUGGACUCAUUAGUAAUGUGGUGGAAUCCAUGCUCCCUACCCAUCCUAAGACCUCCAACAAUAAGGCCUCAGCUGAAUGAGCAUCAAAGGCUCCAUCGAGACGUUGUGCGCACCACCGCACCGAAGGCUGCAACAGGCUCCUUAGAAAUCUAGGCUGCAUCAACACUGAUCUUGUGCUGCUCACCAAGCAAGGCUUCCUACAUCAGAACUCUUGGCCUCCUAGGCAACAUGGGGGCGCAAAUGAAAUUGUGAACUCCGAAGUCUUUCAGGAGGGUCGGGGCACUGCUAAGAUCAUCUUGCGGUACCAUUGCCUUUCCUUGAAAAAGCUCCAUGUCCUAGCAUUCCAUAGUUACCAGAAGACCACCAAGAGGCUUGUGAAAGCCUAAAUCCUACUAAUUGGUGUUGUUCCAAUAGGGUCGGAAGCGUGUAAAUUAUUGUACUAAAAAAUCACACAAAGUUCAAUUCCCAGGGAAGAGAGGUGGAUCACAAGGAUCUCUUAAAUACCAAGUCUUUCCUUAGACAGAAUAUCCCUUCUAUAGUAAUUUAAUAGCACAAUUAAAUACUACUAUUAUACCCUCAAAUAUUGAAAGAAAAAUAGGACAAGAAAGAACACAAGAGUUUUAACGAGGUUCGGUAAAUUAUACCUACGUCCUCGGGCACUAACACCAGAUGAUAACUUUACUAUCUUCAAAGUAUUACAAACAAAUAGAAUUCCUUAAGAAUUCUCAAAUGGGAGAAGAGAGAAAACUAAGAGAGAAAGAUUGGUUGGGAUGAAUUGAAAUGAGAAAUGAGAAGGCCUAUUUAUAGUUGAGGUUUAAGGACCAAACAAUAAAUAGCCCAUUAUCUCAAGGACCAAAAAAAAAUUAUCCCAUGCCACUUUUUCAAAGUCAAAUUUAGGGUGCUAAACUUGCACCACUUUGUAUUGUUUGCCAUUAAUGUUGUCUCCCAUUAAUGUUAACAAUCUCCACCUUGAAGAUUUGAUUAGGAUAAUCACAUCUUCACACACUUCCUUCAACUCCCCAAAUUCGAUAAAGCUAUCUUUUGUAGUGCCUACAAAUGCACUCUCGGGCGCCAUACACCUGAAGGUGCUCAAAUUCUCAGGAUGUUAAUCAAGUUCAAACAAUGAUUAAACUUGAUUGUUGUUACCACCUUGGUCAUCAUAUCUGCGGGAUUAUCUGCUGUCGGAAUCUUCUGAAGUAGAAUUUUUCCUUUUUCAAAGACUUCCCGCACAAAGUGAUAUCUUACGUCGAUAUGCUUGGUUCUUGAAUGAUAGACUUGAUUUUUCGCUAAAUGAAUAGCGCUCUGACUGUCACAAUAUAAACUUAUGUGACUUUGAACAACUCCUAAGUCUUUCAACAAUCCAUUAAGCCAAAUAGCCUCCUUAACAGCUUCUGUAACUGCCAUAUAUUCUGCCUCUGUAGUAGACACAGCUACUGUAGACUGUAAGGUAGACUUCCAACUUAUUGGGGCUUUCGCAAGAGUAAACAGAUACCCCGUAGUUGAACGACGUUUAUCUAAAUCACCAGCAAAGUCGGAAUCAACAUAUCCACCUACAAACUGACCAAGUGCUUCAUCCUGUUCAAAAAUUAAACCAACAUCUACGGUUUUUCGAAGAUACCGUAGAAUCCAUUUCACAGCUUGCCAAUGUCCUUUUCCAGGAUCAUGCAUAUACCUGCUCACAACUCCAACAGCUUGUGAAAUGUCAGGCCUCGUACACACCAUCGCAUACAUCAAACUCCCAACUGCAUUAGCAUAUGGGACUUUCGCCAUAUAUUCUCUUUCAUCUUCAGUCUUCGGAGAUAAUUGAGCACUAAGUUUCAAAUGAGAAGCAAGUGGGGUACUUACAUGUUUUGUGUUUUCAUUUACACCAAAACAUUGUAAUACCUUUUUCAGAUAUUGCUUCUGAUUUAAACAGAGCUUGCCUCUCGGUCUAUCUCUACUUAUCUCCAUGCCGAGAAUCUUCUUGGCCUCACCUAGAUCUUUCAUCUCGAACUCUUGAUUCAACUGAGCCUUCAGCUUAUCUAUCUCAUUUUGGCUCUUCGAAGCGAUUAACAUAUCAUCAACAUACAAGAGUAGAUAAAUGAAAGAUCCGUCAUGCAGCUUCUGCAAAUAUACACAAUUGUCAUAUUUGCUUCUUGUGUACUUCUGCCUUCUCAUAAAGCUAUCAAAUCGCUUGUACCACUGCCUCGGGGAUUGCUUCAAUCCAUAUAGCGAUUUGUUAAGCUUACAAACCCAAUUUCUACCACCAGCAUCUGUGUAUCCUUCUGGCUGAGUCAUAUAGAUCUCCUCUUCUAACUCACCAUGCAAGAAAGCCGUCUUAACAUCAAGUUGAGCUAGCUCCAAAUUCAACUGUGCUACCAAGGCCAACAAAAUUCUAAUGGAGGAAUGCUUCACAACAGGGGAAAAUACAUCAUUGUAGUCAAUUCCCUCCUUCUGAGCGUAGCCUUUAGCUACCAAUCUUGCCUUGUAGCGAAUAUCCUUCUUGCUAGGAGAUCCAUCUUUCUUUGCGAAUACCCACUUGCAUCCGAUUGCCCUUUUACCUUUCGGUAAUUGCGCCAACUCCCAAGUAUUAUUCUUCCGGAGAGACUGCAUUUCUUCAUCCAUGGCGCUUUUCCAUUUAUCACUUUCUAAGCUUUGCAUUGCUUCUUGAUAAGUGAUAGGAAUAUCAUCAACAACGGGAAGGGCGUAGGCCACUAUAUCAGUAAAUCGAGCAGGUUUACGAAUUUCUCUCCGUGGCCUUGCAACUGCAACUGGUUCUGGUGUACUUAGUGGUUCUUGGGUCAGAACCUCUUCAACCUCUAAUUCCUCCAUUGUGGCUGGAGAAUUAGACUUAUUAACUGGGCAAAUCCCCAUCUGCUCAAACUCCACCUGUUUUGGAGUACACUCCACCUGCUGUGGAGUAUUGCUCGUCUGAAUAUCUUUAUCUGCUACCUUUUUCAAUGUGGUAGAUUCAUCAAAGGUAACAUCUCUGCUACAGAUCAUUUUCUUUGUGCUUAAGCACCAAAGACGAAAUCCCUUCACUCCAGAAGUGAUUCCCAUAAAGAGAGCUUUCUUUGCCCUCGGAUCUAACUUUGACUCCUUCACAUGGUAAUAUGCAGUGGUUCCAAACACAUGUAAGGAAUCAUAAUCUGUAGCCGGUUUUCCAGACCAUACCUCCAUAGGAGUUUUUCUUUCUAAUGCAGAUGAUGGCAAACGAUUAACAAGAUGGCCAGCGUAUGUCACAGCCUCAGCCCAAAAUUGCUUGCCCAACCCAGCAUUGGACAACAUACAUCGAACUUUCUCCAGCAAUGUUCGAUUCAUACGCUCUGCCAAUCCAUUCUGCUGUGGUGUAUCCCUAACUGUGAAGUGUCGAACAAUACCAUACUCUUGGCACACAUCGAAGAACGGAUCACUUUUAUAUUCCCCUCCAUUGUCCGUCCUAAGCCGCUUGAUUUUCUUGCCAGUCUGGUUUUCGAUCAUAGUUUUCCAUUUAAGAAAAACUCCAAGCACUUCAUCUUUAGUUUUCAUGGUAUACACCCAAACUCUUCUGGAAAAGUCAUCAACAAAAGUAACAAAGUAGUGUUUUCCUCCCAAUGAAGGUGUUUUGGAAGGCCCCCACACAUCUGAGUGAAUAUAUUCCAAAAUACCUUUUGUAUUAUGGAUAGCAGUGCCGAAUUUCACUCUCUUUUGCUUUCCCAGAACACAGUGCUCACAAAAUUUUAAUUUGCAAGCCUUUACACCUUUCAACAAUCCUUGCUUUGCCAGAAUUUGCAAGGAUUUUUCGCUGGCAUGUCCCAACUUCAUAUGCCACAACUGCAUUGAGUCCAAGUCUUUGUUACCGGAAGCUGCAGCGACUGCUCCAAUAACUGUACUACCUUGGUAGUAAUACAAGUUAUUUUUCCUGAUGCCCUUCAAUAUCACAAGUGCGCCAGAUGUCACUUUCAAAACCCCAUCUCUCAUAGUAACAACUGAACCAUUGGAUUCCAAGGCUCCCAAUGAGAUGAGAUUUUUCUUCAAACUGGGCACGUACCGAACAUCAGUCAGAACUCUGGUUGAUCCAUCUUUAUUCUUUAAUUGGAUUGAACCUAUCCCAACAGUUUUACAGGCAUUGUCAUUGCCCAUAUAAACAACUCCUCCAUUUAGUUCUACUAAAUCAGAGAACCACUCCCGGUUAGGGGACAUAUGAUAGGUACAACCCGAAUCCAAUAUCCACUCAUCUGAAUGGAACGACGAUGAUGAUGCAACCAGUGAUAGUUCAGAGUCACUAGUAUCAUGCUUAGCAACACAAGCAUCUACAGCAGCUUUUCCCUUAUUCUUCAGCUUUGGACAAUUUUUCUUCCAGUGGCCUUUCUCAUGACAAAAAGCACAUUCAUCUUUCCCGAGUCUGGACUUUGACUUUGAUCUCCCCUUUUGAGUUUUCUUCCGAGUGUAUGAACGACCUCGGACUAGUAAAGCUUCUGUAUCUCUGAUUGAGUUUUUCUGUUUGUCCUUCUUUCUCUGUUCAUAACUGUAUAAGGCCGCACAGACUUCGCUCAGAGAUAUAUCACUCCUGCCAUGAAGUAGAGUAGUUUCUAGGAACUCAAACUCCUCAGGAAGUGACCCCAACAGCAUCAAAGCCAAAUCUUCAUCUUUGAAUGUCUCAUCCAUAUUCAGCAAAUCAGUGACUAACUGAUUAAAUUUGGUGAUGUGAUCAUUCAUUGUGGUACUUGGGACGUAUGUGAAGCGAAACAGUCUUUUCUUCAAGUGGAGCUUAUUUUGACUGUUUUUCUUCAAAAAUUUUUCUUCAAGUGCCACCCACAACUUAUUUGCAGAAGUCUCCUUUGAAAAAGCAUACCUCUGCUCUCGAGAAAGGCAUGAUCGAAUUGUGCCACAUGCCAACCGAUUGAUCGCCUUCCAAUCUUUCUCCUGUACAUCAUCUGGUUUCUCUUCAUCAAUGGCAAUGUCUAGACCCUGCUGAAAAAGGGCAUCUAGAACCUCACUUUGCCACAUACCAAAAUGGCCCGUGCCAUCAAAGAUCUCCACGGCCAAUCUUGCAUUUGCAAUUGUCGGUCUUGUCCACAUGGACGAUGUUGAAGCUCCUACACCGACCGUUUUCUCCAUAAUCUUUCAAUAUACCUAAGGAAAUCUUUUCUGAUGUGGAAGAUCAGUUCAAACUGCAACCACAGAGCAUACUACGAUUAACCUUCGGCUCUGAUACCACUUGUUGUUCCAAUAGGGUCGGAAGCGUGUAAAUUAUUGUACUAAAAAAUCACACAAAGUUCAAUUCCCAGGGAAGAGAGGUGGAUCACAAGGAUCUCUUAAAUACCAAGUCUUUCCUUAGACAGAAUAUCCCUUCUAUAGUAAUUUAAUAGCACAAUUAAAUACUACUAUUAUACCCUCAAAUAUUGAAAGAAAAAUAGGACAAGAAAGAACACAAGAGUUUUAACGAGGUUCGGUAAAUUAUACCUACGUCCUCGGGCACUAACACCAGAUGAUAACUUUACUAUCUUCAAAGUAUUACAAACAAAUAGAAUUCCUUAAGAAUUCUCAAAUGGGAGAAGAGAGAAAACUAAGAGAGAAAGAUUGGUUGGGAUGAAUUGAAAUGAGAAAUGAGAAGGCCUAUUUAUAGUUGAGGUUUAAGGACCAAACAAUAAAUAGCCCAUUAUCUCAAGGACCAAAAAAAAAUUAUCCCAUGCCACUUUUUCAAAGUCAAAUUUAGGGUGCUAAACUUGCACCACUUUGUAUUGUUUGCCAUUAAUGUUGUCUCCCAUUAAUGUUAACAAUUGGGACCUACAAAGUUAUGAAUGGCGAGAAUCUACCAGUCUCGUUUUGGAUAAAAAUGAGAAGUAAAUAGAUUACAACUAUACACACGCAAGCACACAAAAUAAUCAAGUUAGAGCCAUCAUGAUUUAGAAGUACUGGCUGUUUUUUCCUUGCUAGUGGAAGCGAUCAUUUCUUUGGCCUUUCCUGAGGGUGCAGAGGUGGAUUUAAAUUUGAAGCUACAGGCGUCCUUAACAAAGUCACUGCCCCAAUCCAAACCUGCCCACCAGUCUAAUUCUCCUCUGAUUUUCUUCAGGAAAUCUACACUUUCAUUGUCAAAUGGAAGUUGCCUCAAACAUGGGCACCGAGAUACUUCGAUCUCUAUAGGAGAAGAAAAGGACUUGGGUAAGCGGCAGAUGGUUUCCAGACUUGGCAAACAAGUCAAAGAAAGGGUCUUUAGCUUUGGGAAAACUUCAUCUCCUACUAUCUCCUCCUCACUUAUAACUUGUUUCAUAGACUGACAGUCGAGAAUUGUGAGGAUCUCAAGAUUUCUAGCAUAAGCAAGGCUAUUCAGGUUUCGCAACAGUGGACAAACACCUACGUGAACCUGACGAAGGUUGUGAAACUCACCCCAAUCUGGCUUUCUGAUUUCUCGAAGUGAACAACAACGAAAUAUCUCAAGUUUCCCUAAAUUUGGUAAUGCAUGGAGAGCACAUAGUGAAGUCAAUCCCGUGCAAUCGAUAAGUUUUAAUUUUCUAAUGCAUGCUCGUUUGGUGUAUGAGCUGAAUAUCUUUUCAACAGAGGACUGACAAAAUAUGGUGAUACAAAUCUUAUUCAUGUGACUAAAUCCCUCCAACACCUCCAAGAAAGCAAGUUCAUCAUCAACUGAAACUUUCACUUGAUCAAAGUACUCCAUCACCCCAUUCAUUUUACUAUACACCUGCAACAGUGAAAGAGAAGACAUCACCUCCUUCGGUGGGAUUUUAAGAUGCAUAGUAUAAUCCAGUAACAAACACCUCAGGUUUCUCAAAUUCGAAAGGCCCGUAGGUAGCGUGGUUAUUCUUGUUAAUGACAAAUUUAGGUACUGCAGGAUUCUCAAUCUUCCAAUCUCCGGAGGCAACUCAACCAAUCCUUGAUUACCCGAUAAAUCUAAAGCUGUCAAACCUGUCAUGAACUCGAAGAAGCCACCAGGAAAUGCGUUGAGCAGUGUAUCUCUUAUGAGCAGAGUCGAGAGAUUAGGGCAAGUUGGUGGGUAAUGGAUGAUCUCUCUGUCACUACAACCCCACAAGGAGACCCAACUUGAGUCUAUCCAUUUGUUGAAUUCUUGAUCGGUAAGCCUCCCACUUCUUGCUACCUAAACCUUGUUCUUAUUUUUCUCUUCGUCACGGGCUAGCCACAGUGCCAUGUCUCGGAUCAUAUCAUGCAUCCAAACAAAUUCCAUAGAUUCAUCAGCUUCCAACAAACAUGAAAGCUUUAAAGUGCUAAUAAUGAAUUCUCCUUGGUCGCGUGGACUUGUUCCAUCUAAAAGACCCUCUCCUAUCCAAAGGUCGAUAAGCUCAUCCACGCUUAUCGUGCAGUUCUCUGGGAAUAUAGAACAAUAUAGAAAACAUUUUCUAGCGACGGAAGAGGUGAGGUUGUCAUAGCUAAACUUGAUAGGAGGAAACACUUGAUCUCCCAUACCUGAAAAUUCAGACGGGUAGCUUUGCAACAUCUCAACUGCACAGAUCCAAUCAUGGUAACUCUUCCUACUAGCCAUGACACUCCCAACAGUGAGCAGUGCAAGUGGCAAACCACUGCACCUUGCGGCAACAAUUUUAGCUAACUUCGGAAUCUCUGGAUUAUAUUUUAAGUUGUGCUUCCCUACCGUCAUCGAAAAUAAACUCAGGGCUUGUUUUGGUGGGAGACAUUCCACUUUAAUUCUUUCUUCAGCUCCUAAGUAACCGCACAACUCCUCCGAACGGGUAGUAAAUAUUAUUUUGGACCCAUUUUUCUUGUCUGGUAAGGGGAUGCCUAAACUGGUGAGUUGGGAUUUGAAGAAGCUCUUCUGAACAUCAUCCAAUAGCAACACAAACCUUGUACCGCUCAAAAGCCUGAAUAUCUCACACGCUCUGUCGUUCUCGGUUGAACACUUUUGCCAUAUGUCAUCUGAGAUCUCCAAUUUCCUCCGAACGAUAUCUUGAAAUUCCUCAACUUUUGUUGCUUUGGAUUGUGUAAUCCAAAUCACGCUAUCAAACUCAUGGUUCCGGAUCGAGAAUUCAUUGUUGAUUUUCUUCAAGAGGGUUGUUUUACCAACCCCACCGAUUCCGUAUAAACCAAUAAUCCCAACGUUUCCAUCCUCAAUUUUUCCCCAUACGGGUUCAACCUUGGAGUCUAGGCCAACGGUAUUCUCCAUAGGAAAUUGAGCCACCAUCUGAGGGCGACGCGGGGGGGGGUGGGAGGGGAUGGUUGGGGGGGCAGCCUUUCAGUGACGGUUGCAAAAUCCCCUUUCUUUAACAGUUCCUUCACUUCUUCUGCCUUCUUUAACACUUUCUUCCCGAUCUUGUAGGCUGUCUGCAAAUUCCUGGGACAGAGGCCAUGAUGUUUCCUCUCAACCUGAAGAUUUCCUUCACGGAUAAGGGCAAUUACUUGCUGCUCAAUGGUUUCUACUCUGCUCAACCAUCUUUCCACUCGCUUCGUAACCAUCUCCAGUUGUGACCUCACACCCAUCUCUACUCUUUGCUUCACGUCAUCUCUGUGGUCACUGAGGUCAUCCAUAGCAGUUCUCAACUCUUCUAGGCGUUUGCCGAGGUGUUUCACAUUCGCCACGUGCUUGACACCGAAAUCCCACAAACCAGGGAUGAUGUUAAGGACUGGGCUCACGAAAUCCAUUUCUCAACGAUUCACUAGAGUUUAUCACCAAGAAAUAGAUGGAAGAGAUGACAUCGAUAAUCAAAUGAAGCUAAGCUAUAACCGAUUUUACCAAGUUCGGAGUAAUUGAUAUUUCUCUAACCAACAUGCAAUAAAAAUAAUUAAGAUAUAUAAAACAAUUCAUCAACUCCGGAAUAUACGAUGGUAUUCAUUAAAAAAAUUGAAAGUGACAUACCACAAACUCUUACAGGCGUCUGCCGAGUUGUUUCACAUGCACCACAUGCUUGGCAGCGAAACCUCAUAAACGUGGGACGACGUUAAAGAUUGGGAUCCCAGAAUCCAUUUCUCAACGAUUCACUGGAGUUUUUUUUUUCUUUGUUCUAUCAACGACCCUAGAAGGUCUUGCUAUAAAUAAUAAACGACCAUAAAGCCUACGGUUAGGGGAAUGAAAACAGUAACUUUAAAUACUAUGUAAAGAAUGUAUAAAUAUUGAAGGUCAAAGUUGUUAUUAUAUUAAUUUUAAAAGCUGCCGUAUUAAUUUAUUAAGUGACUAUUUUACUAAUAUUAAAUAACUAUUUAUGUAAUUUAACUAAUUUAUAGUGUGACUUUCAUGAAAUUUGGCAUAUUACUAUUAUAGGCGAAACUAGAAUAUCGUCUAUGACUAACCCUUGCUGUGUUGAUUAUUACAAUUAGCAUAGCACAUCUAAUCAUGUUAAAGAGAAUCUUUUUUGUUUGAUAUGAUAAUUUGAAAAGAAUCAAUAGUUUGGACAAAACCACAGCCAUGGAGGAGAGUUUCUGCUUUUGAAAAGGUUGCAUUUAUAAUCCCUAGAUGAGACCUAAUCGAUUCCAUGUGAUAGCACCUGUCAUCUGUUGUUAGAAAAUACGAGGAUUACAUAUAUAAUAAGAAUAAUUAUAUGUUAUUAUUUAGAGUAAAUUACACCACACCAAUACUCAUUCAAUUUUGGGAUAAUUAAAAAAAUAAUUAUCUAAAUUUCAUUUUAAUCACUCAACCUUAAAAAAUAAUAAAACAGUUCUUUUUAAUCAUUUUCCGUUACAGACCUAACGGAAAUAUGACAUGGCAUUAACGGCAGGUUAGCUGUCACUAUAAUAGCCAUUUUUAACCCUAAAUAGGACUGGGCAAUAGAAGAAUAGAAGAAGAAGAAUAAGAGAAGAAACAGAGAAGAAGAAGAAGAAAAAGAAGAAGAAGAGGAGGAGGAUGAGAAGAAGAAUAAGAGAAAAUGGAAGGAGCUUUGUGAAAUCUCCACAGCACCGACACCUCCAUGGCCUACGCCCUCCGCGGCAUCAGGGACAUCUUCAGGUGGUCGUUCCAUUGAGAUCUCCUGAAGCUUGAUUUUUUCUUCAUUUCUACAGUUUUGAGAAUGGAUUUGGCUGCUGCAACGUCUUUAAUUGAAGGUCUUGGUGGAACUGAUCUGUAAAUAAAAUAAUAGAAGAAUAGACUGUUUUCGGCAAUGGUUGGGACAAUGAAUCGGAACUUAAAUUUCAUUUUAUGUGGAAUCUUGUUCUUUUAAAGAAUCAUUCAGUUUUUGGGUGUUUUUCACCAUUCGUAUUUGUGGUUGGUUAUAAUAGACAUUGAAUAGUUCCUCAUUAAUUUAAAAAUUCUUCAGCGAGUGCCUUAAGCUUAUUCCGCAUGAAGAAUCGCCGGUUGCAGAUGGGCCUGAUCGAGUGCUGGGAUUGGCGUCGAUGGGUUUAAAGCGGAGGAACUGGGGAUGAGUUGUGGAAGAGGAAAUGGAGGCUUUUCUGGAAAUAGAGAGAAGAAGAAAGAAAGAGAUGAAGCAAAUGAGAGACAACAAAGGGAAAAGAGAUGAAAGCUUCUUUGUUGCUGCCAUGGAGGUCUUUGUUAACCAUUAAACACUGCUAAAUGAGCUAAGCGGAUAACCCUAAGGGAAAAAUCAUAUACGAGAUCUGAAGGUAAAAAACAGAGUAAUGGGUGUUAUAUGCCAUGCCACAGGGUGUAUUUGAGAAAUUUCAUUUGACUACUUUGACUCAAAAGCCAAACACUGGUUUCAAUUCAAGGUUAUAUCUUUUUCACUUUCCUUUCAAAUUUCUUAGCUUGUUUGGUUGCUGGGAAAAAAAAAACCAAUUCUCUUUCUUUUAUCAUUUCAUGAUAACUCUCUCAACAGCAACAAAGAUUCUAAUAUAUGGUUCCUUCUAAUUCGCAACAAAAAUAUGCAUGGCUAUCUUUCUAUUCUUCUUCUGCUGCUGCUUAUUAUUAUUAUUAUUAUUAAUCUGUUAAAAAGGUUUUUUUUUUUAAUUUUUUUCAUCCAACGUGGCAAGUUAACUGGCCACGUCAGCUAGUUAACUUGCCCUAUCAGCAGUUCUGUUAAGGCAUUAACGGAAAUUGUUAGUUAGUAACUGUUUUGUCACUUUUUUUAUGACGUUAGUGACUGUUUUGUUAUUUUUUGAAAGUUAAGUGACUGAAAUGAAACCUAGGUGACUGUUUUGUCAGUUAUCCCAAAGUUGGGUGACUAUUGGUGUAAUUUACCCUAUUAUUUACUAUUAUGAUAGUUCAGUCUAAAUUAAAAGUGAUCUAAUUUGAUUAAGGUUUAUUGGGCUUUAAUUAUUAAAUAAAGUAUGGGUCAAAUAUGCGUAGAUACUCUAGUUAUUAAGUUCUAAUUAAUUUCUAAUUAAUGAUGGGUUAAUUAGGAAUUAGGGCUAAUGUGCCAAAGUUAUAUAUAUUAGGGUUAUGAUCCCAAAUUACAUACAAUGUAACUUUUCUAAUAUCCUAUUUUUAGAAAAGAGAGAGUCACCUUCUCUAGAUUUGAUUUAGAAGAUCAAAACCUCAAGAUCCGUACAUUUCAAGAAAUCGAUGAAUUUUCAGGUUUUCUUGAUUUAUUCUUGAUGGUUUGACAUGAUAUAUCCUGGUUUACAGUUCUAAUUUUAUAUUAGAUAUUACUUACGGUUCUAACAAGUGGCAUCUGAGUUUCGUCAUGUUAAAUCAUUGGGAAUGAAUCGAUUCCACAUGACAACACCAGCCAUAACUUAUGUCCUCACCAUAAUCCGAAUUCUUAGAAGAAAUUGCCACAACAUUGAGAUAGAUAUGUUUGAACAUGAAAUGUGUUUCAUUCUUUUUCGUUGGAGGGAUUUAACUUUCCACCUAUUAUUAUUAUUAUUAUUAUUAAAAAGGUAAAUUAUACCAUAAUUACUAAAUCAUGGAUAAGAUUUCGUUUUGAUCAUUUAACUAAAAAAGUUACAAUUCAGUCUGUAGCACCCCUCACCCGUAUUCAAAGUUAGAAUAGGAUUACGGAGUAUUACCGGACUUAAAAAAAUAAUUAAACAUUCAUUUCACAUACAUUUUCAAAUUUCAUGCAAUUAUCAUUCAAACUCAAUCACAUUGUUCCUAAUACGAGUCUAAGAGGCCCUAAACAUGCUUUAGAAGUGGUUCGGGAGAUAACUCAUGAAAUUUUUAGAAAAAUUUAGAAAAUUUUUCAAUAUAGAGGGGACACACGCUCGUGUGGCCCGGUCGUGUGAGAAAACACGCCCGUGUCGCAAGCCGUGUGGACAUUCGAAAUAGGAUCACAUAGCCGUGUCCCAGCCCGUGUCUGACCCCGUGUAACUCUCUAACUUGGGUCAUAUGGCCAACACACACGCCCGUGUGGCUAGCCCAUGUGUCGUGAAAAUGGCCACACACGCCCGUGUACCAGGCCGUGUGCUAAGCCAUGCCAAACCUGUGGGGUAUACUAACUUAGGCCACACGGCUAAGUCACACACUUGUGUGCUGAGUCGUGUGGAGCAUACUGACUUGAUUAUUAAUUCAACACUAGGGGACACACGGCUGUGUAAUCUGACUGUGCGUCGCACACGGCUGAGAUACACGUCUGUGUCUCUACCCAUGUGGACCAAAAUAGGCUAUUUACCAAGCCAAUUUGCCACCAAAUUUGUAUAUACCUAUAUCAACUCAACUAGCACAAUUCAUGGCAUAAUAAUAAGCAUUCUAUUAAUCUCAUUCAAGCAUAAUUCAUACAAUUUCAAUACCAACCAAUAUGAAACACAUCAAUACCACAAUAAGCCAUUUGAUUUCAUACCAAAACUUAUAAUCUCAAAUCCUCAAUAUGAACACUUCAAAUUUUGCAUCAUUUAGCCUAAUCUCACAAACAUUCCAAAUUCAAUUCUCAACCAUUUAAUACCCCUAAUUACCAAAUAUCAACAAGCAUAACAUACGCAAUAUCAAGCACAUAACAAGAGCCAUAAGCACAUAUAUGUACACAACCAAAUCAACCAAAUUAAGCCAACUCUCAUGACUAUAUACAAAACCAAAUACUUAACAUUUACAAGCCAUUUCAAAUGACUAAAUUCAUUACCAAUUAUUUAUCAAAAUGACCAAAGUUCCUAUACAUGCCAUAUAUUCAUAAACUUAGAUUCAAAAGUACCCAAAGUGAUAGUUGGAUAGUGUGAUGGAGUCUCUGAUGAUUCCCGAAUCUGAGCUAGCUUUAAGUUCACUAUAAAACACGGAAAAAUAAACAAUGUAAACUAUAAAGCUUAGUAAGCUCGUAUGAAAAUAAUAAGCAAACUCACCAUUUAGUUACCAUUGAAAAUAUACAUAUAACAUACUACAAAAUAUAUAUAACCACAAUGUUAACAUAUAUUCAAUCAUCUAUUUAACCAUGAACUCAAUUCUUUCAUAUGUUCAAUGCAUAUUCAGUUUUCGUACAUACCUGUAUUGAUACGUAUCUAUUUCUCACUAUUUCAUAUCUUCGAUAGAACCGUUGAACCAUUUGGAAUAAUACAGGAUACUCGAGAAUCUCGCACCCUAAGUGCCAAUAUAUAUAUAGUCGAAGCUAUCUCAAUAUCAUAUCUCAAUAAUGCUCGCUCUCGAGCUAUCAACAGGUCUACUUACACAAGUUGACGGUCAUAACGUAGCUACACGGUACUGCUCACACAAGCUAAUGAGAAUCCGCAACACAUGCUGGAUAACUCAGCCACCAGUAAAACGUACGAAUGAGCACCCAAAACAAUAAUAACCCCUAAUGACAUGUCAUUCGUAUCCUAAUCUAUUCCUAAGGUUCAAUCGGGAUUUCUAGUUGUCAAAUCGUCAUCGAACGUAUCUGCAAGGUCGUAUUUACAAUUGAUGCAAUAUCAAAGCAUUUAAAAUACAAUUAUAACAAUGCUUAUUACAUACGAACUUGCCUCGGAUGCAAAAACGGCAAAACGAGUUGAUUAAUCCAAAACAUUGUUCUUUCCCCGAUCUAAAUCUGUAUUUCGCCUUUCUUGAUCUAAAUGUGAUCAAAAUUAAACUAUUUAAUAAUAUCUCUAUUCAAUUUAGUCUAAAAUAUACAUUAAUGAAAUUUUACACAUUUUCCCCUAAUGUUUCAAAUUUUUACAAUUUAGUCCUUAUUUCAUAAAAUCACAAAUUCAUGCAAUUCAACCACAACCCAUGCUCGCAGAAUUUCAAUUAGGUCCCUAGCAGUCUAUAUUUUCCAUUUAUUUCACAAUUUAACAACAAAAUUUACACAUUUCACAAUUUAAUCCCUAAUUGACAAUUUUGUCAAAAAUUACUUUACAAAUAUUGUUUAUCUAACAACAAGCAUGCAUUUUCUACCAUUAAACAUAAAAAUACAUCAACAUUCAACAAUGGAAAAACCCUAAACAUUUAACAGUUUUUCAAAAUAGUCCCUGGGCUAGCUAGACUAAGCUGCAAUGAUCUCAAAAACAUAGAAAUCAUCAAAAACCGAUUAAAAAUACAUACCAUGCAAAGAAGGAGAAGUAUCCGAACUUCAAAGCCCUAAAGAUGGCUAUUUUCCUCUUUGAAAUCGGUGAAAGAAACAAUUUGAGAAGAUAAUACAUUGUUUUUACAUAUUUUACUUAACUUAAUUAUUGAAUUACUAAUUUAACCUUACUAAUUAACCUUUAAAUCACUUAAUAAAAUGUCCAUAAAAGUCCGCUAACAUUUUGAAUGGUCUAAUUACCAUUUAAGGCCAUACACAUUAAUAAUCCAUAGCAAAUUAAUACCUUUAGCUAUUAGAACAUCACUUUUGCACUUUACGCGAUUUAGUCCUUUUACCAAAUUAAACACUUAAACGAUAAAAUUUCUUAAUGAAAUUUUCACACAAUCAUUCUGUCAUGAUGUAAGCCUCAAAAUAAUAAUAAAAUAAAUAUUUUGACAUCGGAUUUGUGGUCCCGAAACCACUGUUCCUAUUUGAUUAAAAACAGGCUGUUACACAGUCUUUAAAUUUUUCGAAAUUGGUUUUUUUUCUUCCGGCUAUUAAGUGUCAUUUUUUUAAUUACUAUAAUAACAAUUUUAGUUCUCAACUUUUAUAUUUUAUUUUUGAUUUAAACUUAAUUCUAGAUAAAAAUUAUAAAAGAAAUUAAUUUUACUUAAAAAUAGAAUUUCUAUAUAAAAAUUCUAAAAAAAUAAAAUCUUGAAAAGGUGAUUGUGAAAGGUGAGAAAUAAGAAAAUUAUAAUUCAAUAGUAUCAAUAACAAAUUAAAAACAGAACAAAUAAAAAAAAAGUUAGAUUAUUACAUGCACUUCUUCAAUGUUUCUCGGAAUCAAAUUAGUAAUUCUUCAAGUGAAGUCUCAUACCCUAAAGGACAUUUAGAACUAAUAUUACAGAGACUCGUGAAAUCGACUUUGAUACCAUUUUUAAGCAAAAAAUACAAGAUAUAUUACAAAAUUUUCCUUUUCAAACUCAAUUCAAAAUUUUAAUUCUUUAAAUUAUACCUAAAUUAUAAAAACAAAUUAUAUUCUGAAUAUUUUUUUCUUAUAACGAAAAAGCCUCGUCCAGCAAUAAAAGAGAUAAAAAAAAAACAUAGAACGAAUAGUUUUGCUUAAUAUUUUUCUAUAUUUUCUUAAAGAACAUGUAUUGAAUAUUUCUGUACAGAAAACACAGAAAGAAAUUUUGGAAGGUUUAAAAGUAAUUUUUCCCUCAUUUUCUCACUUUAUAUAUUUUUAAAAUUUUCUAAUUUUUAAAAAAUAAUUUUAGUUUUUAUCAUUUUAUAUACGGUCAGAGUCAAAUUAAGGGAAAAUAUAAAAAUUAAGAACUAAAAUUGUUAUUAUACCAAUUAAAACAAUAUCAGUUAACAGUCGUACGAUAAAAAAACAAAUUUUGAGUAAAUUUAUUAAAUAAUAUAGUUGCGUGAUUAAGUUUAUUAGAAUAAAUUAAUUCCUUUAAUUAAAGUUAAAUCAAAUUUAGAGUAAUUAUUAAAAAUGUGAAAGUGACGUAUACCCAAAAUAUUUUAUAUAGGAUAUAAUAUUUUACAAAUGUUAAGGUUAAAAAAAAAAAUCGAAAUUGAACCCAUGUAAUGGUUUCAUGGUCAAGAUUGUUUAUUGUUUUAGGUGUGGCCUAAGUUCGAGUCACGUAAGUCGUGUUUGUUGUUCGAGUUUUUUCCUAUCAUUAUAAUUAAAAAAAAUCAAAACUCAGCACAGUGAUAUUAAUACAAACUAUAAAGUCAAAUUGACUCGGAAUCCAUGCUUCCCUAGCCAUCCUAAGUCCUCCAACAAUAAGGCCUCAGCUGAAUGAGCAUCAAAAGCUCCAUCGAGACGUUGUGCGCGACCAACUCAAGCCAUGCCAUCAGAAUCGCGCGCCAUCGCACUGAAGGCUGCAACACGCUCCUUAGAAAUCUAGGCUGCAUCAACAUUGAUCUUGAGCUGCUCACCAAGCAAGGCUUCCUACCUCAGAACUCCUGGCCUCCUAGGCAACAUGGGGGCACAAUCUUAAGUCUUUCUGGAGGGUCAGGGCACUACUAAGAUCAUCUUAUGGUACCAUUGCCUUUCCUUGAAAAGGCUCCUUGUCCUAGCAUUCCAUAGUUACCAGAAGACCACCAAGAGGCUUGUGAAAGCCUAAGUCCUACUAAUUGGGCCCUAUAAAGUUAUGAAUAGCGAAAAUCUACCAGUCUCGUUUUGGAUAAAAAUGACAAGUAAAUAGAUAACAACUAAACACACGCAAGCACACAAAAUAGUCCAGUUAGAGCCAUCAUGAUUUAGAACCACUGCCUGUUUUUUCCUUGCUGGUAGAAGCGGUCAUUUCUUUGGCAUUUCCUGAGGGUGCAGAGAUGGAUUUAAAUUUGAAGCUACAGGCGUCCUUAACAAAAUCACUGCCCCAGUCCAAAGCUGCCCACCACUCUAAUUCUCCUCUGAUUUUCUUCAGGAAAUCUACACUUUCAUCGUCAAAUGGAAGUUGCCUCAAACAUGGGCACCGAGAUACUUCGAUCUCUAUAGGAGAAGAAAAGGACUUGAGUAAGCAGCAGAUGGUUUCCAGACUUGGCAAACAAGUCAGAGAAAGCGUCUUUAGCUUUGGGAAAACUUCAUCUCCUACUAUCUCCUCCUCACUUAUAACUUGUUUCAUAGACUGACAGUCGAGAAUUGUGAGGAUCUCAAGAUUUCUAGCAUAAGCAAGGCAAGUCAGGUUUGGCAACAGUGGGCAAACACCUACGUGAACCUGACGAAGGUUGUGAAACUCACCCCAAUCUGGCUUUCUGAUUUCUUGAAGUGAACAACAACGAAAUAUCUCAAGUUUCCCUAAAUUUGGUAAUGCAUAGUUAGGACAAAGUGAAGUCAAUCCCGUGCAAUCGAUGAGUUUUAAUUUUCUAAUGCAUUCUUGUAUGGUGUAUGAGCUGAAUAUCUUUUCAACAGAGGGGUGACAAAAUAAGGUGAUACGAAUCUUAUUCAUGUGCCUAAAUCCCCCCAACACAUCUAAGAAGGCAAGUUCAUCAUCAACUGAAACUUUCACUUCAUCAAAGUACUCCAUCACCCUAUUCAUUUUACUAUAAACCUGCAACAGUGAAAAACAAGACAUCACCUCCCUUGGUGGAAUCUUUGUAAGAUGCAUAGUAUAAUCUAAUAACAAACACCUCAGGCUUCUCAAAUUCGCAAGGCCCGUAGGUAGCUUGGUUAUGCUUGUUAAUGACAAAUUUAGGUACUUCAGGAAUCUCAAUCUUCCAAUCUCCGGAGGCAACUCAACCAAUCCUUGAUUACCCGAUAAAUCUAAAGCUGUCAAAACAGUCAUGAACUCGAAGAAGCCACCAGGAAAUGCCUUGACCAGUGUAUCUCUUAUGAGCAGAGUCGAGAGAUUAGGGCAAAUUGGUGGGUAAUGGAUGAUGUCUCUGUCUCUACAACCCCACAAGGAGACCCAACUUGAGUCUAUCCAUUUGUGGAAUUCUUGAUCGGUAAGCCUCCCACUUCUUGCUACCAAAACCUUGUUCUAUUUUUCUCUUUGUCACGGGCUAGCCACAGUGCCAUGUCUCGGAUCAUUUCAUGCAUCCAAACAAAUUCCAUAGAUUCAUCACCUUCCAGCAAACAUGAAAGCUUUAAAGUGCUAAUGAUGAAUUCUCCUUGCUCGCGUGGCCUUGUUCCAUCUAAAAGACCCUCUCCUAUCCAAAGGUCGAUAAGCUCAUCGACGCUUAUCGUGCAGUUCUCUGGGAAUAUAGAACAAUAUAGAAAACAUUUUCUAGCGAUGGGAGAGGUGAGGCUGUCAUAGCUAAACUUGAUAGGAGGGAACACUUGAUCUCCCAUACCUGAAAAUUCCGAUGGGUAGCUUUGCAACAUCUCAACUGCACAGAUCCAAUCAUGGUAACUCUUCCUACUAGCCAUGACACUCCCAACAGUGAGCAGUGCGAGUGGCAAACCACUGCACCUUGCGGAAACAAUUUCAGCCAACUUCGGAAUCUCAGGAUUAGAAUUUAAGAUGUGAUCCCCUACCGUCAUAGAAAACAAACUCAGGGCUUGUUCUGAUUGUAGACAUUCCACUUUAAUUCUCUCUUGAGACCGCACAACUCCUCCGAACGGGUAGUAAAUAUUAUUUUGGAGCCAUUUUUCUUGUUAGGUAAGGGGAUGCCUAAACUGGUGAGUUGGGAUUUGAAGAAGCUCUUCCGCACAUCAUCCAAUAGCAACACAAACCUUGUACCUCUCAAGAGCCCGAAUAUCACGCUCUGUCGUUCUCGUUUGAACACUUUUGCCAUAUGUCAUCUGAGAUCUCCAAUUUCCUCCGAACGAUAUCUUGAAAUUCCUGAACUUUUGUUGCUUUGGAUUGUGUAACCCAAAUCACGCUAUCAAACUCAUGGUUUCGGAUCGAGAAUUCAUUGUUGAUUUUCUUCAAGAGGGUUGUUUUACCAACCCCACCGAUUCCGUAUAAACCAAUAAUCCCAACGUUUCCAUCCUCAAUUUUUUCCCACACGUCUUUAACCUUGGAGUCUAGGCCAACGGUAUUCUCCAUAGGAAAUUGAGCAACCAGCUGAGGGCGACGCGGGGGGGUGGGAGGGGAUGGUCGGGUGGGCAGCCUUUUAGUGACGGUUGCAAAAUCCCCAUUGUUUAACAGUUCCUUCACUUCUGCUGUCUUCUUUAACACUUCCUUCCCGAUCUUGUAGGCUGUCUGCAAAUUCCUGGGACAGCAGCCAAGACAUUUCCUCUCAACCUGAAGAUUUCCUUCAUGGAUAAGGGCAAUUACUUGCUGCUCAAUAGUUUCUACUUUGCUCAACCAUCUUUUCACUCGCUUCGUAACCAUCUCCUGUUGGGACCUCACACCCAUCUUUACUCUUUCUCUCACAUCAUCUCUGUGGUCACUGAGUUCAUCCAUUGCAGUUCUCAACUCUUCUAGGCGUUUGCGGAGGUGUUUGACAUGCGCCACAUGCCUGACACUGAAAUCCCACAAACCAGGGAUGAUGUUAAGGAUUGGGGACACGAUAUCCAUUUCUCAACGAUUCACUAGAGUUUAUGACCAAGAAGUAAAUGAAGCUAAGCUACAACUGAUCUUAACAAGUUCGGAGUAAUUCAUAUUUCUCUAACCAGCAUGCAAUAAAAAUAAUUAAAAUAUAUAAAACAAUUCAUCAACUCCGGAAUAUACGGUGGUUUUCAUUACAAAGAAGUGAAAGUGACAUACCAAAAACUCCAUUACCAAAAGCUUUAAGUAGGCUUAUAUUAUUACAAAAUAUUUUAUGUAGGAUACAAUAUACUUUACAGCUAACCAGUGCCUGGUUUGCAGUUGUUAAAAGUAAUAAAAAAUUAAUUUAAUUGUUUAAAGGAUAUAAAGAUAUAAAUUAUAAAAUGCUGAAAUUAUAUUUUCACCCUCGUACAAUUAUAUAAUUUAAUUUAGAUUCCUUAAAAGAAAAUUUCUAACUCCGUCGCUACAAUUAAUAUAUAUUGUCUCUAAAAUUGUAAUAAUUUGGUACUUCUGCACUAGCAUAGUUAGUUUUUGUAAUAUUUUUAUUAUUUUUUAUUUUUUAAAAUUUUUUUAAUUUAUAUUUGACAUGUAUCAUUAUGAGAGGAAGUUGUAUGUGAUCAUCGAAUUAGUUAUUAAUGUCACAUCAAUACAAAUUAACGAUGGUACAGAUGCACCAAAUUAUUUGACAAAAUAUAAUGUGUAAAUAUUGGGAGUUAAAUUUUUUAGAAUCAAUACUAAAUUGACACAAAAUAUAAAUAUUGAGGGUUAAAGUUACUAUUAUACUAAUAUUAAAAGCUGCCACGUUAACCCGCUAAUGACUAAAAAAAAUCAAAAUCAAUAGUUAAAUAACUAUUUUGUGACUAUUAUUAUAACCGAAACUAGAAUAUCUACCAUCAAUAACAACAACCAACCACUUGUUGUGUUGAUUAUUACCAUUAGCACAUCUAAUCAUGUUAAGAGAACUUCUUGUUUAAUAUGAUAACUUGAAAAGAAUCAAUAGUUUGGACAAAACCACAGCCAUACAGCAGGGACGAAACUAGAACAAAUUUUUAAGGGAGAUCAAAUGAAAUUUUAAUUUUUUAUAGUCUAUAUCUUUAUAAUUUAUAGACUAAAUUGACAUAAUAUAUAAAUGUUAAUAGUUAAAUUUGCUAUAAUAUUAAUUUUAAAAGUUGUCACGUUACUCCACCGAUGACCAAAAAGACAAAAUUGAAUAGUUGGGUGACCAUUUUGUAACUUUUUAGAGUUAAGUGACAAAAGAAAUACUAAUAGUUAAGUGACUAAACUUUUAGCUCAUUUGUAGUGCGACUUUCAUGUAUUUGGCAUAUUAUUAUUAUAAACUACACCAUUAAUCACUAAACUAUGGAUAAGUUUCGUAUGGUGGUCAUUUUAGUCAUUGAAAGUGUAGAACUCGUUUGAAGAAUCCAUGAAACAACAUAAUUUUGAGAGGGCGAGAAUGUUGUAGGUACGAUAAAUAAGGUGGUCGUAAGGGUUGGUUAGGAAGUUAAGGUAACCGGCUUGGAAAACUUUGUAGAGGGUGGAGUGCUGCUAUAAGUCACCACUAAUGAAGUCUUCAAGUGAGGCGAGCUUAUAGACUAGGUUAUUAAGAUAUCCAAAUUGGUUCGUUAAAACGAUGAUAGACAAUGAAGGUUUGUAAUUGUAGGAUGAGAAUAUGCGAAACAAGUUUUAUUUUUGUUUCAGCUUUCGCCUUUCCUUUUUUAUAAACAUAAAAAAAAGUUUUAACAAAAAUUAUAUAAUUUAACCUAAAAUUUUUGUUUUAAAUGAUAAUUUAAUCUGCCACGUCCGUUAUACCGUCAAUGGUAAUUAACGGUUCAAUGACAAAAAUGUUACAAUAUAUUAACGUAAGUAAGUAAAACGUAAUAUUUUAAAUAUAUAUAAUUAAACUGUAAUCUGAAAAUAAACAAAACCGGGUAUUUUAAUAGAUUAUCUUCUUUCUAUCUAAUGUUUUUCUUUCUUUUCCUUCCUUUUCCAUUUUCCUUCGCUUUUCUGUUUCUUUUUUUUUCCUUUUUGUCAUUUUCUCUUCACCAAACGCUGCUUGUCGGCCACAAUUCAUUAGCGACAAAUCUAAACAAAAGUUCACUCGAAAAGUCCCCUUGAUCAGCUUUUUCCAUCCAUUGAAUUGGAUUUUCCAAAAGAUUCCUCGACUUCCUUAGAUUUAAAAUGGAAAUUUGGACUUAACUCAAGUUGCAUCUUCAGGAAAACAAUUGCUCAACUGAACCAACACUUCAGUCACUGCUCUGUUUUUCCAUUUGAUCAUGUGCCUUUGCAGUAGUACCGUUCGCAUCAAGUUGUGGUAGAUGUUAUAGAGACAGUACAUGUUUUUUAGUUGAGAUACGUGGAAAACAGGGUGAACUUUAGCUUCCUCUGGCAGUAGAAGCUUAUAAGCAACAGCUCCUAUGUGCUCAACAAUCUGGUAUGGCCCGAAAUACUUGGCGUGCUAACUUCAUAUACUACUUGUUUACCAAGGAUUUUUGUCGAAAUGGCUGGAGUUUGACAUAUACAAAACCCCCCACGUCAUACUACCGAGCAGUGCUAUUUUUGUUACUGUUGUUGCAUCGAUCCCAAUGAAAUUUAAGCAAUUGAAUUGCGGCCUCCCUAGUCUUUAAUGUCCUGUCUCGCAUGGCAAAUAAGGCAUGUGUGUAGGUGCAGGUUGUUGGUAGAUAAUUUCGUAAGGAGUUGUCUUCGUAGCAGUGUGAAAUGAUGUGUUGUACCACCACUCGGCAAGUGGAAGCCAUUUUCACCAAUCCCUUAGUCGCUCCCCUGACACCCAUCUUUACUUUUUCCUUCACUUCAUCUCUCUGGUCACUGAGGUUAUCCAUUGCAGUUCUCAACUCUUCUAGGCGUUUGCCGAGGUGUUUCAAAUGCGCUACAUGCUUGGCACCGAAACCCCACAAACGAGGGACGAUAUCAAGGAUUGGGCUCGCCAAAUCCAUUUCUCAACGACAAUCAAAUAAGUUGGGAGUAAUUGAUGGUUCUCUAAUCAACAUGCAAUGAAAAAAUACCAUAGAAGCUCCUGAGAAAAUACAACCAAGCCUAGGGUCAGGGAAAUGGAACAGCAACUUUUUAGUGGGGACUCCUUUACAAAAAGCUUAAGUAGGUUUAUAUUAUUAUGUUCCUAAAUCUUCAAAUUUAUAUUUAGUUGGUAUUUAAAUUUUCGAAGAAUUUAUAUUCGGUCACAUUAUUAUUAUAAUGAACUAUCACCUAUUGAAAAAUGAUUUAAUUAUCAUUUUGGACAUUAGGUUAAUUAUAAUUUAAGUCCUUAAGUCAUUUUUUAAUAAAAAAUCUAUGGUGAUUAGAUUUUAUAAUUUAGUCCCUAAGCCCUAAUUAAUCAUAAUUUCGGCUAAAUUAAUUAUCUAAAUUUCAAUUCACCUAUAUAAUAAUUCUGUAAAUAUCUUUAUUUAAUUGAUAUGUCUAGUUUCGUAGUUUCACCCUUAAGAUACAUUAUUCUAAUGUUACUAUAUAUUUUCACCGUUCGAUCGAUUCAAAAUCAAAGUUGAUCAAAUGAUUCGAAUCGAGUUGAGUCAAAAUUUUUAAAAUUUAGAUUAACUCAAUCUAGUUUGAUUCGACCAAAAUAAACUCAAUUGACCUGUCUAGUUUCACACCUAAGAUACAUGGUUAGUUUAGCUAAACUAUUAUAUUUAAGUUUAGGUUAAAUGAUUACUUUAAGCUUGAAUUUGGCAACAAAUUUAAUAUUAGAGUUUGAACUUUUCUUUGUCCCAGUUAGUCCCUGAACCUAGCAUUUGUUCUCGUAUUGGGACCUGAACUUGGUAAUUGUUCUCAUAAUGAGACUUGAACUUUAAGGUUUUUAAGGAAAUAACAAGGACUAAUUUGGACAAAAAAAAUUCAGAUCCCAAUGUGGGAAUAAUUGUCAAAUGCAUGGACUAAAUUGACAAAAAAAUAAGUUAAAAAAUUCAAACUCAAAAAAUUCGAUUAAAUACUAAAUUUGGUGUAAUUAUACAUGCGAAACUUAAAUUAUGGUUUAUUUAUAUUCAUGAAACUUUACUUUUGAUUUAAUAUAUCGAUACGAAAUGGUACUAAUUUAAUAAUAUUAUUAGUAAUUUGUAAAAAAUUAAAUUAAAUCAAAAUUUUAUUUAUAAAAUCACACAAAAUCAAAAUUGAAUGACAUCCGGAUUAUUCAAACCAAAUGAUAAAUCAAUGUUGUCCUCAAGGUGUAAGGGGCUAACCGAUGCGCAAGCCCAUUAACCAACCUAUAGGCAUACUGAAAAAUCACAUAAACAAAAGUUUAUUAACAACAGAAAAGCAGAUGGACUCAAUAGUAAUGUGGUGGAAUCCAUGCUCCCUACCCAUCCUAAGACGUCCAACAAUAAGGCCUCAGCUGAAUGAGUAUCACAAGCUCCAUCGAGACGUUGUGCGCAACAGGCUCCUUAGAAAUCUAGGCUGCAUCAACAUUGAUCUUGAGCUGCUCACCAAGCAAGGCUUCCCACCUCAGAACUCUUGGCCUCCUAGGCAACAUGGGGGAGCAAAUGAAAUUGUGAACUCUGAAGCCUUGGUGGAGGUUCGGGGCACUACUAAGAUCAUCUUGUGGUACCAUUGCCUUUCCUUGAAAAAGCUCCAUGUCCUAGCAUUCUAUAGUUACCAGAAGACCACCAAGAGGCUUGUGAAAACCUAAGUCCUACUAAUUGAGACCUACAAAGUUAUGAAUGGCGAGAAUCUACCAGUCUCGUUUUGG